ensembl:lncRNA
GGCAGAGGUUGAUUUAGACCAGCGUGCAGUUGUGUGUGCAGAAGCUAAUGCAAUUAUUGUGAGGUGUUCAGUAGACAUUUACAUCAAGAACAGGAAUCUGGUGACCACAUAAGCAAGUGAUGAGAUAGAAUGUUCAAUGGUCAACUGUGCCAGCUUUCAUGAGAGAUCGGCAGCAGUUGCUGCUUUUGGUUCCUUGUAGCUCUCCAUUCCAGGCCUCUGCUCACAGCUGCCUCAGAAAAACCCUCUGCUCCCCUCUUUCUCCAGCUCAGAAGUUGAGAUAUUUGGAGCCGUGUGCCCUCGGUGAAGGAUUGCUUCAGCUCAAACCAAGGGCAGGGGCUGGGAACAGAAAGUACUUCAUCCCCGAAAGCAGUUGAUCAAAAAUGAAUGUACUGUCAAAAAAAGCUGACAAGAAUAAGGCAUGAUUGUGAAGUGAAGGAUAUUCUUCUCUGGGCAAACAGGCUGAUACUGCCAAGGAUACAUUUGACAGCAGCAGUGUGGGAGCUCACACCCAGCAAGCAAGGAAAAUUACACAGGGUAAUGGGUGUGGCUUUUCUG